GAGGCACUCUUUCCUCUGGUUUAAAAACAUUUCCCAAUGCCGAAGGGUAGUGAUUGGGGACAUUGCCCUGUGUAGGGUGCUGUCUUUCAGCUGGGAUGUUAAAUGGGUGUCCUGACUCUCUGUGGUCACUAAAGAUUCCAUGGAACUUAUUGUAAGAUUAGGGGUGUUAACCCUGAUGUCCUGGCAAAAUUCCCAAUCUGGCCCUUAUACCAUCAUGAUCACUUAAUCAUCCCCAACUUACAAUUGGCUCAUUCAUCUCCCCUGUAACUAUUCCCCAGGUUGUUGCUGUAAAUGAGAAUGUGUUCUCAGUCAACUUACCUGGUUAAAUUAAAAGUAAUAGACUUCUAGUCUUUAAUUGUAUAUGUUUAUUGGGAUCCACAUGAUCUGUUACAAAGCAGCAGCGACUCUUCCUAGGGUCCAACAACUAUAAAGUUGUAUCCAAUUAUAAUUGACAUCUCUUUACAGGACAAUGUAACAGUGGUGGUAGCAGCGGAUGGCAUUUUUGGUUUGCCAAGAACAAGUAGUCUGGAUCAAUUUAUGAGCCACCAAAACAUGGGGAAAAGUACUUUGCAAACUGAGCUGAGGUGGAUCAAUUUGUUUGUAAGCCCAUAUCACCAACUGGGGUAAUGCCUGAAUGUAAUAUGCACUGCAUUUCAAGGAUACCUUCCAUUGUUACCUUAUGUACAACUGGAAGGGAAUGUGAACAAAAUCUAGAAUGAUUUGAAAUCAUGAUAUCAAACCUGGCCACUAAUUGAUAUUUAAAUGAUGCAGUUGUCCCUCCACUUCAUCUGUUUGACUCAGUGGUCUUAUGGUUGGAGACCGUAUGUUUGUAUUGUGCAUGUUGAAUGUAAUAUUAACCUGAUACCACUGUGUGAUCUGCUUCAGGCAACAGCUCAGUACGUUAUACCUGUACUGUACUUUAUAUAUAUAUUUUUAAGGUUGCCAUGGAUUUCAAGCGGGCAACACCAUCAAGUCCAAACCCAAAACAACGAAAUUGGACGAGACAGGGGGUUUGGGUUGGGGGUUUCCUGCAAGCAUGAGCACCCGCUUCACUUCUUGAACAUGAAAAAGGGUGAAAGUUUGUCAAAUGCAGUGUACCUGCUGCGAGAGAUGGAGGGGAUGAGAGGCAAGGACAUCAAUCUCUUCUUCAUGUAUGAUAUUGCAUGCAAGAUGCAGCCACAUGUGCAAAAACUUUCCUGAAUUGAAGCAUGAGACCAAAUUCGUUGUGCCAGUUUUCCAUGCUUAUGGACAUGACUUGCCAUGUCAGAUGAAAUCCAACAGCCGAUAUGUCGAAGGUGCUGGACUGGCAGAUGGGGACCAGAUCUAGAGGCUGUAGUCGUAUCUGAGGCGCUUUGGGAAGGUCACCAAAGAAAUGACGCCGUCCCAUCGUAUUGACCUCCUGACUGAUGCACUUCUCCAACGUUGGAAAAAGAUACACCAGAGACAACUGGACUCUCUGCCACAGAGGUUUGCAACAGAAGUUGCAACAGAGGCAGAAAGGGAAAUGGCAGAAAUGGCCUCUUCAAAGG